GCGGAGCGUCUGGCGUGGUAGAACGAGGUGUCAUGGAGAGGAGGUUUUCAGUGGUGUCGAGCGCAUUGUACAUUAAGGAUUUCAUGGAAGGACCAUCACAAGUAGAAGAAUACUUGGUACACACAAGUGGAUUUUCCUGAAAGCCAUAGUGGCAUGAACAAUUUCUAGUAAUGGGAAUGUGAUAUGUCUUGAAGAACGAUUCAUUCACAACAGGAAAUAAAACAGAGAGAUGCUUGAAUGCUGCUUCUGAAUAGAAGUGAUAAAUUGGAACACUUUGUCAGAACUGCCUGACAAAUGUGGAUGAUGUAACCAGAAGGAAGUGUAACACCUGAAGAGAUACUGUGGCUUGGAGUGGGAUGCCAUGCUUCUACAAGCCUGCUGAAACAGCUGCAAUUUUGUUCAGUAGAUGCUGUCUUCAGAAACCACAUGUAGACCAGAAUUACUGUCUCUGCAUAUUUAAAACACCAUAUUUCCAAAACACUGAACUGUCUUCUUUAGGAAGUGUAGCAGUAAUAUUAGGGAAAUUGAGAUAAUAUUAAUAUUAUAUUAGAUUGAGAUAUCAUUAUUAUUGAGCUUCAGUGCAUGGAAGACCUCAUGAUUAGUUACCUUUUUAAAAUACCACACAAGUACACAGUCUUGCAGAUACUGUAGAUCUGUGAUAUCUCAAGAGUGGAGCCCACAGUCAGGCCCUAUAAAUACAGGGUGAAAACAAAGAAAAAGAUAGUGUCUACAGCUUGCAUCACUGUAUCUAGUGAUGGAGUGAGGAGUUGGGGUUUUAUAGACUGCCACUUCAGCAGGAGAGGACUAGUACCAGAACACUGCAACUGGCCUUUGAUGAAUACACUGGCAACAGUACUUGCUUGCUCUCUGGGGAAGAGAGUUACAUACAUAGGAACUUGGCUUUGAACAGUUGCUUGAAAAGUACUGGUGCUGUAAUCACAGUAGCAGCAUAUUUGCUGUAUUCAGCAAACUAUCCUUUCCACAGAGGAGUGAAGGAUCAUAAAUUGGUCACCAAAUAAAUUUAAAGACAACUCAUGGUGUGUACAUAUGAUGAAAUUUGCCUUGAAGCAUGACUUUUAAGCCUUUUUGUCAGGAAUUCUUUUUAAGGGCAGAAACAUGAGAAUAACAUCAUUAAAAAUUCAUAGACCUACUAUUACUGAAUAAUUUUGAAAUGGUCCGAAAUACAUAAAACAACCCUGUAUCUCAUGGGGUGUUCCUGUUCAUCAGUGACAAAUUCCAUGUAAAGUCCAAUUUUCUAUCAAAGUAGUAUGAAGUAUAAACACUACUAGGAGCAGCGUAUUGGAAACGUCAAAAAUAAGUAUCCGUCAGGCUACUAAAGUGGAUGCUAAGGAUCUGACUGAACUCCAGGAGUGCAUUGGUGGCUCACUGGGCAUCUCCUAUGGUUUGGUUAUUAAGCAGUGGACAGCUACUCUGGCUAAAGGUUGCUCCUUUUGAGCAAGGAAUGGUAAAUCAGUCUAUUGAACAUCAAGGUCUGCAGAUACAAACUAGAAAAUAGCUUCAUUUCAUUCCAUAAUACUUGUUUCUGUUAACAAAUGCUAACUGUGAGUGGUGCGUAUUUUCAUGUGCCAUGUUUUGUACAUGCUUUUAAAUAAAGAUAAGGAUGUUAAAGCUGUUGCACGUCAGCUAUGGAUCA